UUACCGAUUCAAUAUACAACAAUAAUAAUAGUUCAAAAGCAAUAACAAUAACAAUAGCAACAAACAAACAAAGUGUUCGGCUAGCACGGUUGUUGUAGUUGGGCUUAAAAUUAGCCAAACAAUGUAGUGCUUUCUUAAAUCAAAAUUGGCCAAAAAAGUGAAAGCAGAAACAAAAGUUGCAUAGUUGCAGUUGCAUUCAUCGAUGCAAUUGUUGUUGCACUCAGCAGAGUUGUGUAAUCGACUUUUGUUUCAGUUGCUGAAAUGCAAUCGAUUAAUUGACAAUCGCUUUGAAUAGCUAUCGUGCAAUUGUGAUCGUGUGCUUCGACUUCUUCUUCUUCUUUGUCGCCGUCUUCUUCUGUUCUGCUUUCACUUAGCCCUGCGCAAAUGUUUGCAUGUGUGUGUGCGUGUUUCUGUUUGUGUUUGUGCUUGUCAUUGUGAUUGUUAUUGUUGUUGCUCAUUGUGUGCGCUGCGCCUUAUUUAAUGUCCUUGUUGUCGUCGCUGUGUCUGAAUGCCACGCCCCCCGUUCGCUUACGCGUCUCGCUUAAAAUCAAAUCUGUUGGUGAACAAAGCAUUAAAAUACACAAACAAAUAUUAAAUCUAAAGCAAGUGCAAAGCAAAAGAAACUAGAAAGUUUCUUAAAUUCAACAACAACAACAACAACAACAUCAACAAAAUAUGAAAUCAUAACCCAACAACAACAGCUGUGGAAUUGUGAGAAGCAAAGCAAAAAGAAAGAGAAAAAUUCUAGCAUACUUUUUUGUGGGUUUACGUCAUGUUUGUCGAGGCUUAGAGACGUUUGUCAGCCAGUUGUGUAGUUCUACGUCUAUAUAUGUAGAUACUCACAUACCGUACAUACACACAUACACAUAUAUUAUGUUCAAUUUUGUGCCUAUGCCUGUAUAUGUGUCUGUGUCUGUGUCUCUAUCUGUGCCUGUAGUUGUGUGUUUGUCUUGGCGCUAGUUUAGUUCUCGUGAAACUUCAGCGAUUCUCAAAUUUCCAAAGCAUGCCUACAACAACAACAGUAAUAACAACAAAUACAACUUGAUGUUUAUAUAGAUGAGACUUAAAAAAAAAAUACAUAACUGUACAAAAUAACUGUGCUGUGCUCGCCUUGAGUUAACUGUCUUGUCGAAUGCAAGCUCAACAAGCUGCACUUUGCCUCAUUCCCCUAACUCGCUGAGCUGUUUGUUCAACUUUACCUUCAAGCUAAGACAAAACAAAUUUGCAAUUCGUAGUAAAAAGCGAAAACAUAACCCAAAAAAAAAUAACGAAACAUAACUGUAAAUUGGUACAUACGUAAACAAGCAAAAGCAACAAGAAC